GACGAACCGUGCGAACGUUGUUCGGAUUCACUGGGCUUAAAGGGCGCGUAGGCGGCUUGCCAAGUCAGGGGUGAAAUCUUUCGGCUCAACCGGAAAACGGCUUCUGAUACUGGCAGGCUGGAGGGAGGUAGGGGCAGAUGGAACUUCCGGUGGAGCGGUGAAAUGCGCAGAUAUCGGGAAGAACACCCGUGGCGAAGGCGGCUCUCUGGGACGGUACUGACGCUGAGACGCGAAAGCGUGGGGAGCGAACAGG
rnacentral:rRNA from 1 species